AACUCGCCUGCAUGAAGUCGGAAUUGCUAGUAAUCGCAGAUCAGCAUGCUGCGGUGAAUACGUUCCCGGGCCUUGUACGCACCGCCCGUCACACCAUGGGAGUCGGUAACACCCAAAGUUGGUAGCCUAACCGCAAGGAGGGCGCCGCCUAAGGUGGGAUUGAUGACUGGGGUGAAGUCGUAACAAGGUAGC
rnacentral:rRNA from 1 species